rnacentral:rRNA from 1 species
GACGAACGCUGGCGGCGUGCUUAACACAUGCAAGUCGAACGAAGAGCGACGGAAGCUUGCUUCUAUCAAUCUUAGUGGCGAACGGGUGAGUAACGCGUAAUCAACCUGCCCUUCAGAGGGGGACAACAGUUGGAAACGACUGCUAAUACCGCAUACGAUCUAAUCUCGGCAUCGAGGAUGGAUGAAAGGUGGCCUCUACAUGUAAGCUAUCACUGAAGGAGGGGAUUGCGGCUGAUUAGCUAGUUGGAGGGGUAACGGCCCACCAAGGCGAUGAUCAGUAGCCGGUCUGAGAGGAUGAACGGCCACAUUGGGACUGAGACACGGCCCAGACUCCUACGGGAGGCAGCAGUGGGGAAUCUUCCGCAAUGGACGAAAGUCUGACGGAGCAACGCCGCGUGAGUGAUGACGGCCUUCGGGUUGUAAAGCUCUGUUAAUCGGGACGAAAGGCCUUCUUGCGAAUAGUGAGAAGGAUUGACGGUACCGGAAUAGAAAGCCACGGCUAACUACGUG